CCUACGGGAGGCUGCAGUGGGGAAUAUUGGACAAUGGGCGAAAGCCUGAUCCAGCCAUGCCGCGUGUGUGAAGAAGGCCUUCGGGUUGUAAAGCACUUUCAGUGGGGAAGAAAGCCUUGGGGCUAAUACCCUCGAGGAAGGACAUCACCCACAGAAGAAGCACCGGCUAACUCCGUGCCAGCAGCCGCGGUAAUACGGAGGGUGCGAGCGUUAAUCGGAAUUACUGGGCGUAAAGCGCGCGUAGGCGGUCUGAUAAGCCGGUUGUGAAAGCCCCGGGCUCAACCUGGGAACGGCAUCCGGAACUGUCAGGCUAGAGUGCAGGAGAGGAAGGUACAAUUCCCGGUGUAGCGGUGAAAUGCGUAGAGAUCGGGAGGAAUACCAGUGGCGAAGGCGGCCUUCUGGACUGACACUGACGCUGAGGUGCGAAAGCGUGGGUAGCAAACAGGAUUAGAUACCCGAGUAGUC
rnacentral:rRNA from 1 species